AUACGGAGGGUACAAACGUUAAUCGGAAUUACUGGGCGUAAAGCGCGCGUAGGUGGUUUGUUAAGUGGGAUGUGAAAGCCCCGGGCUCAACCUGGGAACUGCAUUCCAAACUGACGAACUAGAGUACGAUAGAGGGGGGUAGAAUUCAGAGUGUAGCGGUGAAAUGCGUAGAUAUUCUGAGGAAUACCGGUGGCGAAGGCGGCCCCCUGGAUUGAUACUGACACUGAGGUGCGAAAGCGUGGGGAGCAAACAGGAUUAGAAACCCUAGUAGUCC
rnacentral:rRNA from 1 species